rnacentral:rRNA from 1 species
GAUGAACGCUGGCGGCGUGCCUAAUACAUGCAAGUCGAGCGAACAGACGAGGAGCUUGCUCCUCUGACGUUAGCGGCGGACGGGUGAGUAACACGUGGAUAACCUACCUAUAAGACUGGGAUAACUUCGGGAAACCGGAGCUAAUACCGGAUAAUAUAUUGAACCGCAUGGUUCAAUAGUGAAAGACGGUUUUGCUGUCACUUAUAGAUGGAUCCGCGCCGCAUUAGCUAGUUGGUAAGGUAACGGCUUACCAAGGCAACGAUGCGUAGCCGACCUGAGAGGGUGAUAGGCCACACUGGAACUGAGACACGGUCCAGACUACUAAGGGAGGCAGCAGUAGGGAAUCUUCCGCAAUGGGCGAAAGCAUGACGGAGCAACGCCGCGUGAGUGAUGAAGGUCUUCGGAUCGUAAAACUCUGUUAUUAGGGAAGAACAAAUGUGUAAGUAACUAUGCACGUCUUGACGGUACCUAAUCAGAAAGCCACGGCUAACUACGUG